rnacentral:rRNA from 1 species
GAGGAACUUGUUCCUCGAGUCGUUGAUUUCACACUGCCGAGAAAAGCCUCUAGCUAGAAUAACGGUGCCCGUACCGCAAACCGACACAGGUAGUCAAGAUGAGAAUUCUAAGGUGAGCGAGCGAACUCUCGUUAAGGAACUCGGCAAAAUGACCCCGUAACUUCGGGAGAAGGGGUGCUCUUUGAGGUUCACGCUUCGAAGAGCCGCAGUGAAUAGGCCCAAGCGACUGUUUAUCAAAAACACAGGUCUCUGCUAAACCGUAAGGUGACGUAUAGGGGCUGACGCCUGCCCGGUGCUGGAAGGUUAAGAGGAGUGGUUAGCGCAAGCGAAGCUACGAAUCGAAGCCCCAGUAAACGGCGGCCGUAACUAUAACGGUCCUAAGGUAGCGAAAUUCCUUGUCGGGUAAGUUCCGACCCGCACGAAAGGCGUAACGAUUUGGGCACUGUCUCAACGAGAGACUCGGUGAAAUCAUAGUACCGGUGAAGAUGCCGGUUACCCGCGACAGGACGGAAAGACCCCGUGGAGCUUUACUGUAGCCUGAUAUUGAAAUUCGGUACAGUUUGUACAGGAUAGGUAGGAGCCUUAGAAGCGUGAGCGCUAGCUUACGUGGAGGCAUUGGUGGGAUACUACCCUAAUUGUAUUGGAUUUCUAACCCGCAGCACUUAUCGUGCUGGGAGACAGUGUCAGGCGGGCAGUUUGACUGGGGCGGUCGCCUCCUAAAGAGUAACGGAGGCGCUCAAAGGUUCCCUCAGAAUGGUUGGAAAUCAUUCAUAGAGUGUAAAGGCAUAAGGGAGCUUGACUGCGAGACCUACAAGUCGAGCAGGGUCGAAAGACGGACUUAGUGAUCCGGUGGUUCCGCAUGGAAGGGCCAUCGCUCAACGGAUAAAAGCUACCCCGGGGAUAACAGGCUUAUCUCCCCCAAGAGUUCACAUCGACGGGGAGGUUUGGCACCUCGAUGUCGGCUCAUCGCAUCCUGGGGCUGUAGUCGGUCCCAAGGGUUGGGCUGUUCGCCCAUUAAAGCGGUACGCGAGCUGGGUUCAGAACGUCGUGAGACAGUUCGGUCCCUAUCCGUCGUGGGCGUAGGAAAUUUGAGAGGAGCUGUCCUUAGUACGAGAGGACCGGGAUGGACAUACCUCUGGUGUACCAGUUGUCGUGCCAACGGCAUAGCUGGGUAGCUAUGUAUGGACGGGAUAAGUGCUGAAAGCAUCUAAGCAUGAAGCCCCCCUCGAGAUGAGAUUUCCCAACUUCGGUUAUAAG